UAGUAGAUUAAUUCGAUAUAAUAUAAAAUCAUAUGUCGAUGCACAUUGUCACGCAAAACGUUUCUUUAUAUAAAAUAAAACACGUGCGUAUAUAUUGACCUCUCAGUCUAGUGCUAUGCAAAAUAUUUCUUGAAAAAAAGGGCUAAAAAUUAGUGGAUCUCUUUUAUUGUGCUCUAUAAUGCUUUGGAUUUGAUCUCACACAGGAAAAAUGUCCACAUGUGUAAAAUAUGUGUAUAAUUUUACACAUGUUUUGCACAUAUAAUGCAUGUGUACAACACAUGUUUUAAAAUUUAUAUGUUGAACAUAUAUAUUAUACACGUGUGUAACAUAUAUAUUUUACAUAUGUUUAACACAUAUAUAAAAUAAUAUAUGUUCAAUACAUGUUUCAAAGAACAUAUACACGAAAAAAAAAAAUGUUGAAUUUAUUAUUUAUUUUCAUGACUUUCACCUAUAUUUAUGCAUUUAUUAGUAAAUACUUGUAAAAAUAAAAUUUAUCUUACAAACUUUUGCCGAGUAACUUACAGAAAAUUUAUUUGUUAACCAAUUCCGGAUUAAAAAUCUCGAUUGGCUUUAAUUUUGUCGUUUGCAAUCAUACGUCAUUUUUUACGUCACGGAAGCAGAAUAUGUUGAUCAAUCAUUUACAGAUAUUCGAUUUGAGGCUAAAGGUAAGGUUUGUCAAUCAUUCUUAUUCAUUUAUUUGUAUUGUAAAAUUAUACAAAUAUUGCUGGUAACAACCUAGUCAUUUUACAACACGUCAAGUAGCUUGUGUUCUUCGGGAAAAUUCGGGUUGAAAACAAGAAACGUGUAUUGUCAACGAUUGAUGCUUAUCCAAUCUACUUAGGUGAAAUUGAUAAAAGUUUUUAGAUGAACUAUAAAGGCAAAUACGGUGAUUUAAUGUAUAUAAUACACAUAAAGGUAUAUACUACAUCUGCUAUAUAUGUAUAGGUAAACGGUAUAGGUCUGUCGGUAAACGUUUUCCACAAAGCUACAAUUAAGCAGUUGUAGCUGAAAAAAAAGCAGAUUUAUAGACAGAACAAUGCUUGAAAAUUGAGCGAACAUUAAAUAUAUGUUUAUCAAAUGUAUUUUUAUUUAGAUCAGACACAUUUCAAUCUUGAAAAGUGAAAGUAGAAUAAACUAGAGUAAAGCUCGUUGCAAAGUAACGAGUAGGUAUUCCAUAAAACUUAAAAGCAGCAAGUCGAAAGUUUUAUAUAAUUUUGUUGUUGUUGUUGUUGUUGAUAUAUCAAAACUGAAAAUUAAAUUGAUUGUUUAAAAUGUUACUUAUUAUGCAACAACUUGCUAAAAUGUUCAGUCGGUUACUUAAGUGAGUAUGCUAAUUAACACCCUUUAUUUUUAGACAGGUCACAGAAGACAUAAACUAACGCAGUGGAUAGCAGGGAUAUCUCUCUAAACUGUUUAUGCAGUUAAAAUGGCUAUAGUACAAAGGCUACCAAUAUUGGUCGGUCAGGAACUCCGAAGACAUAGGGUAAUGAAUUUUUCAAGAUCCAGACAUUCUUCUUGAGUUCAUAGACAGUUCUACACUGCAGCUGGUAUAAAAGUGACAAAUCAUGAAAGAACCCAGUCCACACAUGAAUUGCUAAGGUCAAUGCACUGAAAAGAAGGAAGUUGAAGUUAGAUCGACAUAGAGAUGGCUAGUUUUUUUGGUUAGUUUGUCAGUUCUGUUGCAAAAAUAUGUGCAUGCAGUAUCAGAAUUCUGUUAAAGCUGCUUGGUAUCCACUGAUGGCUGCAUGUUUGUAUUAUUAGUUACUUAAUUAUCUCAGACUUCUUAAAGUUGCUGUUAGUUUUUAGCAAUCAAAAGCACUUGUAACAAUUAAUUAUUGUAUAACAUGUACAUGUACUUGCAAAACAGCAAUAUAAUUCACUCCACCAGGAAAGAUACCUGUGGACAUGAGGAGGAAGUAGAUGACAGUAGCACUUGUAAGUCUGACUUUGUAAUAUCAUGUGUAUGAUAUACUUAUAUAUUAUUAAAAAUCAACAAUACUAUUUAGGCAUCUUAAAAGUGUCAGAUCUAAUGUAUAUACCAUGGAAUCAUUAAAAUUCGUGGUGGCUCAAUUUUCGAGGAAUUCGUGGGUAGCCCUCUCCCACUAAUUUAAAUCCUCAAUGAAAACAAUUUUAGAAACAGUUAUCUUUGUUACUGAAACAGUAGGCUACGCAUCCACGAAAUUACAUCCCCACAAAGAGCAAAAAAGUCAUAAUCCACAAAAAUUGGCCCCCACGAAUUUAAAUGAUUCCACAGUAUACUACAUGUAUUGGCUAACAACUCAAACAAUUGAACUUAACAUGCAACCAGUCCCUUCUUUGGACAUAUUUAUGUACAAAUAAAGUGCAUCAUGUACAAGUGUAUAAAUAUAUAUAACUAUUUAUUGAAUGAUACUUUAUAAAAGAAUUUUGAUUAUUUUUUCGUUUCUUUAAUUCAGAGGUUAUUCUUAACUACGAAAAAGUUUACCGAAUGAUAGAAG